rnacentral:lncRNA from 1 species
GGAGCUCGGAUCCUCAUUCAGGAACGCUACGAGAAGUUUGGGGAAAGUGAGGAGGUGGAGAUGGAGGUUGAGUCUGAUGAGGAAGAUCAAGAAAAGACUGAGGAGACUCCUUCCCAGCUGGACCAGGAUACUCAAGUACAGGACAUGGAUGAGGGUUCAGACGAUGAAGAAGAAGGACAGAAAGUGCCUCCACCCCCAGAGACACCCAUGCCUCCACCUCUGCCCCCAACACCAGACCAAGUCAUUGUGCGAAAGGACUAUGAUCCCAAAGCUUCCAAGCCCCUUCCUCCAGCUCCUGCUCCUGAUGAGUAUCUUGUGUCCCCCAUAACUGGGGAGAAGAUUCCUGCCAGCAAAAUGCAAGAACACAUGCGCAUCGGGCUUCUUGACCCCCGCUGGCUGGAGCAACGGGAUCGCUCCAUCCGAGAGAAGCAGAGCGAUGAUGAGGUGACUUGGGAUGGCCAUUCAGGCAGCAUGGCCCGGACCCAGCAGGCUGCCCAGGCCAACAUCACCCUCCAGGAGCAGAUUGAGGCCAUCCAUAAGGCCAAGGGCCUGGUGCCAGAAGAUGACACCAAAGAGAAGAUUGGCCCUAGCAAGCCCAAUGAAAUCCCUCAGCAGCCACCGCCUCCAUCUUCAGCCACCAAUAUCCCCAGCUCAGCGCCCCCCAUCACGUCAGUUCCCCGGCCACCUGCGAUGCCACCUCCAGUCCGCACCACUGUCGUAUCUGCAGUGCCUGUCAUGCCUCGGCCCCCCAUGGCAUCUGUGGUCCGGCUAGGCUUAGGCAGCUCCUUAUAGCACCCGGGCCUCACAUUUAGCAUCAUUGAUGUCAUCGUACUCUGUAACCUGUGUGACAUCGACCUCUCACCUGGUUGCUAGAAGUUUGCCUAGGGACUAGUGCAAAAUUGGUUUGUUGGUGUUCUUUUCUGAUUUAGGGGCCUGGAACAAGCUCACUGCUAGACACUAAUUGGGCAGCACCAGAAAUUCCCUGGAGGCAUUUCCAGGAGGAGGGUGUGCUGUGUGUGGGAGGGGCAUGAGGAAGGCUCAGAGAAUCCCUGGCCCAAGAGCUCCUUUUUGGUAUUAGGGACAUGGCAUUGUGUCAGGGCAUAUGCCUCUGCAGACUGGCAAACCCCACAGUGCCUCUGUGGCUGAGGCUAUGACUUGAGACUAGGAAUGUGGCUGGGUAGAAUGCAAGUGAAUGGGCCCUUUGAUCCACACUCCGGAGUUCACAGUUCCCAGAAUUCCUGAAUGAAUGCCUGCUCUGCCUCACUUUGACUUGGAGGCUCAUUGACCACAGAGCCUUGUGACCUUUGGUGGCCACAGACCAAGAUUGUUUUCUAGCACGGCAUAUCCUACAGCCUUGUAAGUUUGAACAGUGCUUAUCCAAACUUAAGUUUUAAAAUGUUUGUAAAAAUAAGCUGUUUUAUUAAAAAUAUAUGUAUAUAUGUAUUAU